rnacentral:rRNA from 1 species
GAGUUUGAUCCUGGCUCAGAUUGAACGCUGGCGGCAUGCCUUACACAUGCAAGUCGAACGGCAGCGCGGGGCAACCUGGCGGCGAGUGGCGAACGGGUGAGUAAUAUAUCGGAACGUACCCUGGAGUGGGGGAUAACGUAGCGAAAGUUACGCUAAUACCGCAUACGAUCCAUGGAUGAAAGCAGGGGACUGCAAGGCCUUGUGCUCCAGGAGCGGCCGAUAUCUGAUUAGCUAGUUGGCGGGGUAAAAGCCCACCAAGGCAUCGAUCAGUAGCUGGUCUGAGAGGACGACCAGCCACACUGGAACUGAGACACGGUCCAGACUCCUACGGGAGGCAGCAGUGGGGGAAUUUUGGACAAUGGGCGCAAGCCUGAUCCAGCAAUGCCGCGUGAGUGAAGAAGGCCU